rnacentral:lncRNA from 1 species
UUACAAAGUAACUGUUCCCGCCCCAAAGAUCAAUGCUAUAAGUUCUUAUUUUUCCUUUUGACAAGAAGUGGUGACAGAAUACAGAGAAGAAUUAACAAAACACAAAAACAACAACACCAAAAGGCAUUUAGUUCGUGAAAUAUCAUUCUGUUUCCAAGAGAAACGCAAUCGACUUAGAGCAAGAUCCUUUCGAAAGCAAAAACAAAGAUUCGCUGCAAAUUCUAAGGUACACAACUUACUAUUUUUGCUCCAUAAUUGUUACAAUGGCAUCAAAGCAUGGGUUUAUAUUGCUCUAAUUUUACAUGCAAAAUCUCGAUCUAAGUAUGGAAGUACAAAUCGAGUUUGAAAUCACAUGUUAGAAAAUUUGUUGACCGAAGAAACAAAUAUCUAUAAAAAAAAUUUGGUCUCCGAUCAGAUACGCCACCAUUGCUCUGGUCAGAUGUGCCACCACGACUCCGGUCAGACGCAUAACUGAUUUAGUCAAACGCUGGUUCAGUUAAACGUGUCAAAGAUUUUUAUAGAUCCGACCAGACAUGAUUAUUGUUAAAUGGUGCAACUCUAUUUUUGUAGUUCUGAGAAAUCACUGGUAUAACCUCUCAGAGAAGAUGAUGAAUGUUGUUCUUAUUUUUUUUUUGUUUUAUUGUUAUAUGGUAUAUGGUACUAGUGUAGUACAAGUACUUCUAAUUGUAGUACAGACAUAUUAUAUAAUGAGAGAAAAGGUUAUAAUGAGAUGCUGUAAGUUUUUUUUUUUAAACUAAUUUUUUUUUGGGCAUCGUGUAUGAAUUAAAAUUUUUUUUAUUAUGCCUUUGAUUUUAUUUAUUAAUAAGGGUAUAAAUUAGGCUUGAUAUAACUCUUGUCUUAAUUAGUCCAUAAUUUUUUUUCCUAUAACAGAUUUUGCCUUCUACGGUAAAAAUGUAACAUAAGAGGUUACAUUGAGUGGUUGGACCAUUCUAAAUGUUUCUUGGUUCCUAUUUCAUAAAUGGCUGAAUAGGGACAAACUCGAAUCACUCCUAGUGGGAGUUCUAGACGUCGAGCAAAGAGACAAAGUAGAAGAACACAUCAUCGAAGGGCAUGUUUUUGAGGUCGAGAGAUCAUACAAAAUGGUGUCCCCAGUGCGACUCAAAAUUUGUUAUGGAAUGAAAGGGCUAUAAGAAGGAAAAGAGAGAAGAAAUUAAAAGAGUUCAAGUCUUUUAAUAUGUCACCUAACAUUAGUGUUGCUAGGUUUAUACAUUUGUUUGAGUUGAAACAUGUUGAACUAGAAAACUAUGCAGAAAUAUCGGAUUGGUAAGCAUUAGCUAUUUUAGCAAAUUCUCUCCGUGACCCUUGGGGCGAGAGAUUAAUUGAUGUUUACCACAAGAUUUAGCCUAGCGAGCCUUUUUGGGUGUACAUAAGUUGUCUAGAAUAUUUGUGGAAUGACUUUCGAUAAUGCACAUUAAGAAAUUAAUUUCUAAUUUUGGUCAAGUGUUUAGUUAGUCUAUGAAGAUUGGAUUCUUAAGUAUCCUUUCGAUUAUACACUAAACAUGAAACCUUUAUGUGAAUUGAUUUACUUGAAGGUGUAACUUGCAGGCAUAAUUGAUAAUAUACUUGCAUAAUUGUUUCUUAAUAACAGACAUGACAUCUAAGAACAUAAUUGUUGACUUGAACAAAGGAGAAAAGCUAAAUGGAUACAACUAUGACAUUUGGAGUCGUAAGAUAUGGUAUGUACUGGAAGAGCAAAACGCUCUUGACGGUAUUAACCAUGUCUUGAUUCUACCAGAAUAGGGCAAUACUGCACAACACAAAAGAGAACUUAAAGCUUAUAAGGCUUGGAAAAAGGCUGAUUCCAUUGCACGUGGAAUCAUUGUAAGUUCUGUAGUUGAUGGCCUCAUACAUGAGAGUGAGGAAUUUUCUACUGCCAAUGCCAUAUGGGCACACUUGCGAGGAACAUAUGGGGGUACUUCUGUUCCCCGCCUCAAACAGCUGACUAUCAAAUUUGACACUUACAAAAAGCAUCAUGAUCAGAACAUCAAACAACACAUAAGGGUGAUGUCGAAUAUGAUAGCUCAACUUAAAAGUGCUGGUCAUGUUCUCUCGGAUGAGCAGCAGGUUCAGGCAAUGAUCCGAUCUCUUCCCAAUAGUUGGGAACACCUGAAGGUAACCUUAACCCACAAUGAUAACAUCAAAACCUUUUCUGAUGUUGCCCGUUAUGUUAAACUUGAAGACGAGCGGCUUGGUGCUACUAAAGCUGCUUCUAAUGCCUUCAUGGAAGAAUUAAGUGGUAAGAACUCUUUAGGAUUCAAGUGUAAGAAAAAGUGGAAAAGAACAGGAAGGGCAAAGAGACCGAAGAAGGACCCUCUGAGAAAAGAAAUAAGCCAAAUUCUAAGAAGGGAAAAAAGUUUUUCUAGAAGAAAGACAAGAGCAAGAUGAAGUGCUACAAUUGUCAAAAUCUGGGGCAUUUUGCUCGUGAAUGUACUGAGCAGAAAAAGGUAGCAUUUCUAAAUGCAACUCUAAGUGAUGCAUAUGUUUCUAAUACUGCUUUAUUAUUUGAAUCUUAUCCUAUGUGGAUUGUAGACUCAGAAGCCACCGACUAUGUGAGUAGAGCUCGAGAAGCGUUUGUGGAGUUCCGUCGAGUUUUACCUGGAUCAAGGUGGAUCUAUGUAGGAAAUAAUACAAGAAUUAAAUUCAAAGAAAUUGGCACUUGCAAAGUAGAUUUGCGUGAAGACCGGUCUUUAAUGUUGCAUGACGUCCUAUAUGCUCCAGAAAUUCGACGAAACUUAGUAUUUGUGUCUAUUUUCUUAGAUGUUGGAUUUCAUUUGUUUUUUAGUUGUAAUUGUGUAAGAAUUACUCUAGAUAAUGUUUUUUAUGGUUUAGGACAUCGUUAUGAUUGGUUUAUUGUUUUAGAUUGUAAUCCUAAAACUUAUAAUUAUUAUGUUGACCGUUGGGUAGUGUCAUGUUAUUAUAGUAAUAAUAAUAUUGAAUUACUUACAUAGCAUGCUAGAUUGGGUCACAUAGGGAAAGAUCGAAUGAAUAGAUUAGCAAAGGAAGGACAUCUAGGUUCAUUGUCUAAAAUUGAAAAGCCAACUUGUGAAAUUUUCUUGCUAGAAAGAUUACACGUAAACCAUUUGGGAAGGCUUAAAGAGCCGAAUUCCCAUUGCAAUUAAUCCAUUAUGAUAUCUGUGGUCCAAUGAAUGUGAGGGCAAGGACUGGUGCUUCAUAUUCAUUACAUUUAUUGAUGACUUCAUGCAUUUUGGUUAUGCUUAAUUGAUAUCUCAUAAAUCAGAAGCACUUGGAUGCUUCAAAAGAUACAUGAAUGAAGUUGAGAAUCAGUUAGACAAAAGUAUAAAGGCAUUAAGAAUCGAUAGAGGACGUGAAUAUCUGUUAAAAUAAUUUGAAGAAUUGUGUAUUGAAAAGGGCAUUAUCAGACAAUUGACUACUCCUUAUACACCUCAACAAAAUGGUGUAGCCGAAAGAAGAAAUAGAACAUUGUUGGAUAUGAUAAGAUCCAUGCUGGCGCAGAAAAAUUUACCAAUCUCUUUUUGGGGAGAUGCAUUAGUAACUGCGGCCUACAUAUUGAAUAAAGUGCCUUCUAAAUCAGUAUCUUCUACUCCUUAUGAACUAUGGACUGGUAAUAAACCAAAUUUUAAUAAUCUACGACCUUGGGGUUGUACUGCAUAUAUUCAAGAUCGUUUUGGUAAAUUUGGAAAACUAAUUCCAAAAGAAAAGAAAUGUAUCUUUAUAAGAUACUCAGAACACUCCAAAGUAUAUGUGUUCAUUGGUGAAUUGGAAGAUGAAAGUACUACUGAAAUUGAAUCACGAGAUGUCACAUUCCUAGAAAAUGACUUUUCAAAAAGGAAUAAAAUAAAGAAAAAUGAGCCUCUUUACGGAAUUUUGAAUUUAGAUGAUCAAAUAAUGUCAUAGGACAUGCUUGAUAAUUCAAUUGAUCAAGAAAUGAUUCUUGGUCCAAGUGGGAGUUGUGAAUCCCAAAAUCCCAUUGAAGAAUUUGAACUUCAAUUACAUAAAAGUACCAAAAAAGGUGUGCCUAAAAAAUAUUAUGGGAUUGUGGAUUAUAUCUUCUUGGUAUCCUUCACAGAAUUGGAUGAACCUAAUUCUGUGAUCAGGACUUUAUCGAGUCCUAAAAAAGAUUAAUGGAUAAAAGCGAUGAAAAAAGAAUUAAAGCCCAUGAAAACCAAUAAAGUCUGGGAUUUAGUUGACCUUCCUUCUGGGCGUAAAGCUAUUGGGAACAAAUGGAUUCUCAAAGUCAAACACAAAUCAGAUGGAUCAAUAGAAAGGCACAAAACACGAUUGGUGGCAAAAGGUUUUACUUAAGAAGUUGGAAUAGAUUAUGAGGAAACUUUUUCACCAGUUGUGAAAUUCACCUCAAUUUGCCUGCUUUUUUUCUAUAGUUGCACGUUUAGAUUUAGAAUUACACCAAAUGGAUGUAAAGACCGCUUUUCUCAAUGGAGAACUAAAAGAAGAAAUCUACAUGGAACAACCUUUAGGUUUUGUUGUUAAAGGCCAAGAAAAGAAGGUUUGUAAAUUAAACAGAUCAAUAUAUGGCCUUAAGGAGUCUUCAAGGCAGUGGUACCUGAGAUUUCAUAAGGAAGUGAUUUCAUUUGAAUUCACCAUGAUCUAUGAAGACCAUUGCAUCUAUGUGAAAACGUCCAAUGAAAUGUUUGUGAUUCUUUCGCUUUACGUGGAUGAUAUUUUAUUAGCUGGAAAUAAUUUGGAGUAUGUAAAAACUGUUAAGUCAUGGCUUUCAAAGUCAUUUGACAUAAAAGAUAUAGGUAAAGCAGACUAUAUAUUGGGUGAUGAAAUCCAAAGAGACCGUUCCAAGAAAAUUAUGAAUCUAUCUCAAGAAACAUACAUAAUGAAAAUUUUAGAACAUUUUUGAAUGAAUAGUUUCAAAUCCAUGGAUAUUCCUAUAGCAAGAGGUAAAACUUUAAGCCUUGAAAUAUGUCCAAAGACUGAAAAAGAAAAAAAAGACAUGUCUCGAGUACCAUAUUCCAAUGCAGUUGGGAGUUUGAUGUACGCUAUGAUGUGUGCUCGCCCAAAUAUUUGUUAUGCCAUAGGUCUGGUUAGUAGGUAUCAAUCUAAUCCUGAAAUAGAUCAUUGGAAAGCAGUCAAGAGAAUUUUUCGAUGCCUGAAGGGAUCUGCUGAUUAUUCACUAUGCUAUAGUGGAUUUGAUUUAUCCAUAAGAGGUUAUACAGAUGCUGAUUGGACUGAUGAUCGAUAUGAUAGAAAAUCAACUUUCGGUUAUGCCUUCUUGCUAAAUGGUGGUGCAAUUUCAUGGAAAAGUAAGAAACAAACAUGCACAGCCCUGUCAACUAUGGAAUCAGAAUUUGUGGCUUGUGCAUCUGCAGUACAAGAAGCUGUUUGGUUGAAGAGAUUCUUUGAGAAUUUGAACAUUGCAAAAAAUUCUAAAGGUCCCAUGAUUUUAUAUUGUGACAGUCAAGCGGCUAUCGCAUAUACGAAGGAUCCUAAAUAUCACAGCAAGACCAAACACAUUGAUAUUAAGUAUAACUUUAUAAGAGACAUAGUAUCAAGUGGAGAAAUAAAUUUACAAUACAUUCCUAUACGAGAAAUGAUAGCUGAUCCCUUUACUAAGGCGAUAUCUAGAGACUUAUUUGAGAAACAUGUCAUGGCUGUAGGAUUACGUAGGAUAUGAUUAAGUUUAUGUAUUGUAGAUGACUUGAUUAGAAUUAUUAUCAAUAUAAGAAUCUUGAAUUUAUGUUCAAUCUCAUAUGCAAGAGAAAAUAUGUUUUAUUAAUAUAGUAUGUUGAACAAGUCGCGAGAUUGACUUUCUCACAUGAGCAAUUGCCUCUUACGUCGAGGAACAUGAAGAGAAAACUUUCACCAUAAGAUAAUGACUUGUUUUGUAAAGCCAGAUGUGAGUUUCUCUAAGUAUAUAAUUUUGAGGAUUAUUAAAGAAAGAAACUCAGGUUAGACAUUUAAAUGUGUUUAGACCUAAAUCUGUACGAUGUUGAAUAGCUGAAAGAAUAAGACACAUGCACCAAUCUAAGGUGAGAACAUCGUAGCACGUGUUUCAUACCACGUGUGCUUAGCGACCAAUGGGUUAAUGAUAGAAUGAAUCCCUGCUUCUUCAUUGUGUGAGGCCUUAAAAGUUAUUUUAAACUUUUCAUUGAAAUACCCUUAGACUUGUAAGUGUUUUUGAAGUUUCGGUCAGUGUUUCUACUUUAUCAUGUUACUAAUAUCCAUGAGAGAUUUGGCAAUGUGGUGCAUGUCUAAGAAAAUAGUUGAUUUGAAAAGAUAGAUUCGAGUAGAAAGGGAAGAUUAUUAAAAUGAAUAUUUUAACGUGUUUACACAAGCCGGCUAUUACACUAACCAUAUAACAGUUAAGUGUAAGUGUGUAUAUAAAGUUAAUCAUAAACUCGAGUUUACCACUUUAAGAGGAUGAUUGAUCAGAUAAGUAACUACUGGAGUAGUUAAUAAUGUCUGCGGUAUUGUGAGUAUUAGUAUCCUCGUAUUUGUAGAGAAUUCUUUCCACAUGUGAUUGGAUUCUAAACAUAGAUUGUAAAACCUUAUAGGUAAAGCUCGUAAUGUUCAGAGGUCGCACGAACUAUUUGCCAUAUGAAUUGGUGAUUUAUUGAUGUUAAUGUCCACUAUGUGUGAAGUGGGAGAUGUUAGAUUUUGGGUCAUUGGUCACGCAUGUGGACCGACCCGACCCAACCCCUACCCAAACCGACCCAUUCUUUGUCAGAUUAAAUUUAAUUCAAAAGAAAAAAGGGGGUACGGUUACAGAGUAAUUGUUUCCACCCCAAAGAUCAGUGCUAUAAGUUCUUAUUUUUCCCUCUGAUAAGAAGUGGUGACAUACAGAGAAGAAUUAACAAAACACAAAAACAACAACACCAAAAGGCAUUUAUCUCAUGAAAUAUAAUUCCGUUUCCAAGAGAAAUAAAAUGGACUUAGAGCAAGAUCCUUUCGAAAGCAAAAACUAAGAUCCGCUGCAAAUUCUACAGUACACAACUUAUUAUUUUUGCUCCGUAAUUGUUACAAAAAUAUUAGUUUAUAUCAAAAUAACUUUCACAUCAAAGAUGGAAUUAGCUUUCAUAUAAAACGUGGGAUAGUAAAUCUCUUCAGAUUUGAGAUCCUCAAAUAUUCCACCAAUAUAUCAAAUGACCCUUAAGUGUUAAGUAAUCAAACUAUUACGAAUUUGACUUUUCACUCAGCCAUGCAAUAAUUCUAAUAAUUCUAAUGUAGAAAUUAUACUUUAUUAUAUUAGAAUUGUAAUUUAAUGUAAUUUUUUAACAUUUAAAUAUUUAAAUAUUAAUUUAAUUUAUUUCAACUUUAAGGACUAAUAAAUUAACUCUAGAAAGGGGAAAGUUUUGAAUGGAAAAGGGAAGCACCUAUGCACAAAUAGAAGAUGGUUUUGAUGGAGCAAAUGCGACCAAACAAGGGCAAAAUACAAGUACUCUACAUGAUUUUGUUGACAUGACAACACAAGUAAAUUGAGCUGAAUGUGAAAAGACCGUAUGAAAGAUUGCUUUUAAUAUUGCUAGUUUUUUUGGGGGAAUUUUAAUAAUCUUCCUAGAAUGCACAUAAGGUAUUUUUAUUCGUGAGACCACGCAUUUCUACGAAACAACAAAAUGAAGUUAUAAAAUAGGGGAACGGAUCAAAAAUAUCCCUCUACUUUAAUUUAUUAGAUAGAUUUGUCCUUAGUCAUACUUUAGGGUUAAAUAUGUCCUUACUGUUAGUAAACUUAAUAAAAAUACUCCUAUAUUUAACACUCUUCCACAUAACUUAACAUUUUGGUGAGGUGGACGCCACGAGGCAUGCCACCUCAUCAUCUGAUUUUUAUUUCCUUAAUUUUCUUUUUUCAUUUUUAGUUUUAAUUUUUUCUUUUUCCUUUUUUCUUUAUCUAAUUACAAAGUCACAAAUACAAAAACAAAAAUUUCUUUCUUCUUCUUUAUCUGUUCCUCCUUAAGUUUCAAGAAUUUGGAUUUCAAAAGCUUUUUUCAAUAUUUUUUCCNNNNNNNNNNNNNNNNNNNNNNNNNNNNNCCUGCUGAAACUUCUUUUUAUGGAAAAUUUUGGUAUCCAUGAAUUGUACUUUGCUUAUCCUUUGACCUUGCCCCUCUGCCUUGUUUUUCAACUUUCAAAGAUGGGGUAUAUUGUGAGCUCGUUAAUUGAGUUUAGAAAACUUUACUUCUUUCCAUGGUAUAGUUAUACAAUUACACUAAUUGUUUCUGCAAGGUUCAAGCAGCUUACAAAAUAUAACAAGAAAAUAAAAUGAAAAAAUCUUAAUCAUAUCCCAUACAUUUAUAUACACAUAAAAUUCUUUCACAGUUUUAUUUGACAUACACAUGUAAGAUAAACCUUUGUAUUAAAAUGUGAACAUGAGAAAUUUUAAGGUAAAGAAGAAGCUAAAAAUUGCCUUAACAACCAUUAUUGAAACUUUGAAAUGCUAAUUUUCCACAAAUUCUAUCAAUCUUGUUCAUUUCUUCUUUAGUUUCAUAAUUAGCAAUAAUCCAUUAUUUGUAAUAAUGCAGAUGUAUUUUCACAAUUAAUUUCUUGAGAUUUGAGGAGAGAAAGAAAAGAGGAAGAAAGAAAAUUUAUUUUGUAUUUGAGACUUUAUAAAUAGAUAAUGAGAAAAGGAAAAAGAAAAGAGAAAAUAAUUAAAAUUGGAAAUGAAAAAAGAAUAUUAAGAAAAUAAAAAUCAGAUGAUGAGGUGGCAUUCCACAUGGCGUCCACCUCACCUAAAUGUUAAGGCAUGUGUAAAAGUGUUAAAUAUAGGGGUAUAUUUAUUAACUUUACUAAUGGUAGGGGUAUAUUUAACCCUAAAGAAUAGGUAAGGGUAAAUCUAGCUAAUAAAUUAAAGUAAACGGGUAUUUUUGACCCUUUUCCUAUAAAAUAUCGUUGCGUUCAAACACACAUGCAAGUGUAUGCGAUUGUACAAGUAAUCAAGUUAUUCUCAAGUGUACGCGAUUAUACAAGUAAUAAAGUGAUUCUUACGAGCCAGAUGUCAAACCCACAUAGAUUUGUCAAUUAACUAUUUUACUAAAUUAAAUUAUUCCUUAUUAUUUAUUCAAGAAGUAAAUUUCAAAAGACAUAUUUAUAAAUUUACCAAACUAAAAUAAUAAAAAGAAAAUAACUAAUGAACAAUUAAAUUAGAGAAAAACAUCUUUUACACAAUCAAUGAAUGAAUCAAUCUAGAAUUACAUAUUCACUAACAAUCAUGUAGAGUAUCAAUUUCAUCAACUUAUUUGAUUUAUGGGGUUGAUUAUGAUCAUAGUCUUUUGAGUCUAUAAUCAUCUCUUCAAUUUACCUCACAACUAUAUUGUUGAGGGGAUGUGAUAACCCAAUCCGCAUGCAUUUAUAUAUCUUUCCGUUUAGUUAAGUAAGGCAAUCUCGAUAUAUUUCUAUCUUUGCCAAAAAUUAAUUCUUUAUUUUACUAAAGUAAGGUUCAUACUCCCUUUAUUAUUGAUUAUAUCUCAUUAGUUCUCAUUCCGGGUUCACAAUAAGACUAUAAUUUUUUUUAAUAGUAGCUAAACAUUAAAAUAAUAAUCACAAGAAUAUAAAAAUAAUUAUAAUGACGAUUAAAUAAAUAAAAUCAAGAUACAGUAAACAAUUAUUUAGUUAGCUACCAUAAUUCUUGAACGAGAAUUUUAACUCCACAUAGACAAAGAGCAAUUACAAUAAAUUUCAUAAAAUAAAAACAUAAAAAUAAAUAAUAAAGGAGAAGAAAAGAUGAAAUCAAUUUUCUCCGACCUCCACGAUGACUUCUAGCUCUCUCUAAGUCAAUAGUUAUGUAAAAACUGAUUUUAUGGAGUAUUUAUAGGUGUAGAAAAAAAUCUCAAAUAAAAUAACUGAGUCCAAAAUGGACUAGAAAAAAUAAAGGCAUAAUACAUAAACAUAUCCUUUAACUUGAAAUCAAAUCACAUCUAUGACUUUCAACUUUGGACGAGCACAAGUAGACACUUAAACUUAUAUAUAGUUGAACAAAUAGACACAUAUGUCCUAUGUGGCAUCCUACAUGACUAAUUCUUUGCCUACAUGACGUCCUACGUGUAUUACGUCACAUAAGACAUGUGUAUCUACUUGUUCAACUUUAUACAAGUUUAAGUGUCUACUUGUACAUGCUCAAAGUUGGAAGUCAUAGGUGUGAUUUUAUGUAUUAUGUCAAAAAAUAAAAGCGAAAUACAGAGAGUCCAUGUCACGCCACAAUCGCGAUGAGCUACUACAUUGGGCUAGAUUUCAAAUUUCUUUAAAUGAUCACUUUUGAAUAAAAUAUUAAGUUUAUUGCAUUAAGCUGUUUGCUUGAUUUUCUUUUAUAAUCUUUCGUCUUUAAUUCAUUUUGACUUCAAAUCUUUUUAUCUUCGUGCCAUUUUAAUCCUACACAUUAAAAUAUAAUAUUAGACAUAUUUCAUAAAGUUAAUGCUCAAAAAGGACCAAAAAAAUACUAUAUAUGAGACAAACAAUGACUAAAAACAUAUAAGUUUAGAAAUACCCCGAACUUUGGCCCUUAUAAAAUUUCCUAAGUCUUGGACAUUCUGUGCAUAACAAGACUCAGCAUACUACUCGUAUGGCGAUGGUACGGGUCAGGGACCCUAGUCUUAUGUGGGUCAGUGUCAUAAUAGCCAAGUUUUAUUCUUGGUACGAGAAGGCAUCACACGAGUCGUAUGUACAUGAUAUGAGUGGUAAGAUCCAAACCGUAUGUUUUCCAGUGUUUAGCAUUGACAUUCUGCUUAGGGUACGACUUGAAGGGUACUAAUCAUAUGGUAGGGUACGAUUUAGGGUAAGGAGUCAUAUUUUGGAUAUAAUGUGAUGUGAAACAUUCUAAUCAAGGUACGAGUGGAGGGUACCACUCCUAUGAUAUGGGUACGAGUGGAGAGGCCAAACUGUACCCUCCUACGAGUAUUUCACAGCUUCUAAGCUAAGGGAAUUUUAGUUAUUUUCCACCCCAAGCCCUUAAGAUCCCAUAUCUGAUAAUACUAUUUGGUCCCUUAAUCCUCACUCUGAGAAGAUCAAAAUACUCUCAUAUUCUCUCUAAAAACCUCUCAAGAAGAUUGGGCUAGGGUUUCAUCAAGGUGGUCAUCUAGAGGCUUAAGGAUCUAAAUCUCUUCGUGAAUUAUCGUAACUCAGGCAUGUGACUCUUCCUUCAUUGUUAGUUCAUAAAAAUCACGUGUUUUAAACAUUGUUCUUGAAUCAUAAAAGAUGGUUUUGAAAUCCAUGGUUGAGAUUUUGAAUUGAUAUUAUUAAGUAUUGUUCUCUCAUGUCUUGAUAGGUGUUUAUGCAUGAUUUAAUAAUGGUUUUGCACUUGUGGGUACUUGGAAACUGUGAUAUAAACUAAGGGGUCAUGAUUAACCCUAACUUAAUGGUUUGGACUUGAAUAAUGGUUUGAUAAUGAUAUGCCAUCAACCUAUUUGUGAAAAUUUCUAUGAGAAAAAUAUUGUCACAUGAUGAAUUGAGUUUUGAACCAUUGCUUGGCAUACGAAUUUUAAUGAAGGAUGAAUGAUUUACUGAAGGUCUUGAUGGAUAUAAAUUGAAUUGAAUUGUGAUUUGAAUUAAGCCAUUGGCCUAAUAAUGUAAAUGAUUGGAAAAUGGUUUCAUGAAGACCAUGCGGCUCAAAAAUGGUUUUGAAUUAUCACCUGGGUGGUUAAUUGGCUAAAUGGAUUUGAGUCCCUAAAUGUUGAAUUAAAUAGAGGUUUUUCUAUAGACUAUUGGUUCGAGUCAUAAAUAUUGAAUGAUAACGGUUAUAGAAUGUGUAUGCUUGCAAGUGGGGUUAUUAUGACGAUAUCAACGGGAUUCCUUUGGUCAAUAAUUGGACUAAUGGUUGCGUGUAUGCAUAAAAAAUGAUUUAAAUGAACUUUAAAGUGAGAUGUAUUGCCGGGUCAUGAAAGUGGAGUCCAAAAGACUAACACUAGAAACCGCGGUAGUUGGUGCGAGCGUCUACAUAAUUGGGAGGUUCAAGUCCCCCGAAUAGAUAUAUGAAUAGGAGGUUUGAGUUCCCCAUAUUGUAUAUAUUGGCACUUAAGUUACCUUGAUUAUGCUGGGAGGUUCGAUUCCCUUAUAAUGGCAUAUACGGUAAUGGAUAUUCUUCGAUUCAUGUAGCUAUAUCCAUUGGAGCCCUUCAAGCUAGGGGAGAGCUGGACCCAUAUAGAUGGUAGGUGCCUUGUUUUAUGAUAGUUAUGCUACACAAUUUAGGUUAAUAUUUUCAAAGUUCAUGCUAAGCGAUGCUUCCUCUCCAGGCACUACAUAUAAGUAUAUAUACAUGUGAUUGCAGAUGAUCUACCUUGGUUUUGAAUAAUGGUAUUAUUUCAUUCCUCUAUCCCUAAGUUACAUGCUAGCGCUCCAACCACUAACCGUCUUCAAAUUCUGUAUCUCCAUGUAAUACAGGGAUCAGAGCUUCUUCUUCUUUUCUGAUGCAAUGACCAGGUAUACGAGUAGCAUGAGUUGACAUUGAAAUGGAGAACUUUCAUAAUUUGGAAGGCAUUUAUUUAAUGGUCUUAUAAUUCUAUGUCAUAGACUUUGUUAGACUUGGAUUUUGGCUAUUGACGGGGGCAUGUCCUGACACUUUUAUUUGACUUUGAAUUAUAGAGG